CUAUUUAUUAAAUUUAUUUUCAAAAAUAUUAAAGGGUGUUAUAGGAAAAUAUGAAACAAAAUAUAGAUUAGUCUAAAGGGACAUAGUUACCAUUUUUUUGCUCUAAAAAAAACAGUUUUCCCUUGAAAAUUUAUUAAAUGCUUCACGCGGAAUGAGUUUGCAACUACUACAUAUUUCUACUAGAAUAUAAUUCUAAAAAACAUGAAUUUGCAAUAUCCAAACAACAAAGACCCAAAAGACCAAAACUGAAAUGGACAAUGGUCCAACAAAUAUCCAAGACCAAUUAAAGACAAACAACUCAAUUUUCUUUUCUCCCUCCUCUUCCUUGUCUGCUUUGUGGACUAUGUGAAGCUUCUUUUCUUCAUCGACAGCUAUGUUGGUUUUGCGAAUUUGGCGGGUGGGGUUUGAGGUUGCGAUGGUGUCUCUCUAUUGCGGCUCUGUGGAGGUCUGCUGUUCCACUUCCUUUUCAGGCGGUUUCUUGCCCAGGCGGAGGCUCCUGUUCCCUAAGGUCUUCUCGGAGGUCUUCUGUGCCGGUGUUGACGAGGGCAUCCCUAGGCGGUGGUUUUCUGUGCCGUAAGGCCUUGUCGGUGGUUUUCUCAGGCGACGGUGGUCAUGGAGUUUCUAGCGGCUAUGUUUUGGAUGCUUUAGUGCGUCUGUUUAUCUAGGAUUUCUGGCUCCGGUUUGUUCCAGAUCUGGGCUUAAGAGGGGAAUCGAUGGUCUGGUUUCGGUUCUGGUGUGCUUUGGCUCGGUGCUAGAUUCGCUAGGUGGUGGGAUCGUCGGCUUCUGUGCGGUAGUGGUGUGAUGUUCAAGCCGGUUCUAGAGCCAUUGAAGGUUAGUGGUCAAGCUCGAGCCUAUGUCUUCCCCGUUUGUGACCACUCCGAGGAUGACUGGUAACUUGUGUCUCUUAAGUCUCUGUCCGUUGAAAGAGGCUUUGUAGAGAAGACAGUUGUGGUGGUAGCUGGAGCUUAGUCGAAUUGAUUUUAUGUGCUUCUUUUUGUGUUCUCUGCUAGUCUGGGUCUCUUUGUUGAGGAGUGUCUCCAAAUCUUUUUCUUAGUUUCAGGUGAGGUUUUGGUUUGGAGAGUUGGGUUAAGAGAUGAGUCUGGCGCCAUAUGUCAGGUCGAGGACCUGUUGACGGUGCGGCAUAGCUGAAGGGGCAUUGCAGGUGCUUUCGCUGACGUCGUUUCUAGCCUUCUUCAACUCUAGCUCUUUUGUUGCUCACCGUUGCUUUGGAGAUUUCAAUUCUCGGUUGGGUAAACAACUGGGUGUAUGCGUGGGCAUGUUCAAGUGCUUCUAUUCCGACUUUGGAUUCUCUUCUCCAUUGUUGAAUUCUCAGGUAGUGCUUUUAAGGUUAUGGCUUUCUCUACAUGGUUCUGGCUUUGCUUGAAGAGGUUUGUGGCUAUGGUUUUUUUCUUCAACGGUGAAGCGUCCCGAGGUCCCUUGUGAUGCUUUUGACUUCUCCUCGGUGAAAAGGUUUGGUUAUGAGGCAUGUUUCGUUGCUCUGCUGUGAAUUCUAGCAGAUGGACAUUUUCUAUCUCUCGGGUUGAUUGUCUUGCAGUCCUUGUGUUGUUGGUCAAUCCUAAUCGGACGCCUGUCCUCGUAUUGUUUGGAUGUGCCUUUGAAGCCUCCGGUAGUCUAAGGUCCUUGGUAUUUGUCUUCUUCUUUGUCUUAGAACAUUCAGUUUCUUAGGUCAUCAAGUUUUGUUAUGAACAACCACAAAUUAAGCAAGAAGACAAUAGAGAACAAAACAUAUUGAGGCAAAUACCCGUUUAGGGUUUACUAUUAUUGUGUGAAUGAAUAAUCUUACAAACCCUUAGAUCAAUAUUAAUAGCAUCUUCAAAACCCGAUUUCCUUUAUCCUUUAGGAAUACAUACUUAUAUAAAAAAAAUUUUGGGCUUUUGGGUCUUUGUUGUUUGGAUAUUGCAAAUUCAUGUUUGUUGCAUUUACGUAGCAACAAAUUGAAUUGUUGCUAUUAAUGUCAUAUAAUUGCAACAAUUUUUUAUAACAAUUUUGUUGUAAAUUUACAACGUAUUUGUGCAACAUUAAUAAUGACAAAUCAUUGAUACGUUAAAUAUAUAGCAAAUAAUAUAACAAAUUAUUGCAAUUUAAUAGUAUUAAUGCAACAAGACAUUUAUAAAAUAUUUUGGUAUAAGUAGACGUAUGGAUGCAACUUAAAUUGUUAUAAAAAUUUCUAUAUAAAUUGUAGCGAAUGUUGUUUUAAUUUUUUCGAUGCAAUUUAUUUUGAACUAUAUAUUUGGUGCAAAUAUUUAGUGAGGAAAGUUAUCAUGGUUAACAAUUAAUAUUUCAAUAGAUCAUUAUGUUUUAUUGGUUGUUCUAUUCCGGUCUGGCUUCCCAGACCACCUCAAGUUUGAGUAAUAGAAGAGCCGUUUGCUGUCAAAAAAAAAACAAUUAAUAUUUCAAUAAAAUUAAUAGAUUGUUAAAUGUGUUGCAGUAUUUUGUUAUAAAAAUAUUAGAUGGAUUGUUUUUUACAGUAAAUAUAUUUGAUAACACAAAAGCCAAAUAACUAACUUUAUUAAAUAAACUUAAAUAUGAGAAAGUUAAACAACGCAUCAGCAAUGAUAAUUUGAAAGCUAAAAAACAUAACAAAAACUUAGAAAAAUAACUAAACCACAACUGAGACUUAAUUGUUGACACUUGUGGACAAAAGAUAGCAGCCAGCUCGUGUUUAUGAGGUUCCAGCCCGUUUCGAUCAGACAUUCGACUCUUAGAAGCUUUUUUUAUUUUCCUUAGCUUUGUCUGUUUCCCAGUAGGAAACCAAAUCUUUGUAGAAAUCAUCAGGGAUCCAAUAUGGCUGCUUACCUCUUUCUUUCACUCGGCUAAUCAUAUCUAUCCGCUUUGUUGCAGCACAUUUGCAAAACAUCUUUCGCACCUCAGAUUCAAUCAAAUGAUUCCAAGAGAACUUGCUCUGAGAAUGUAUUAUAAAAGAAAAGUUAGAGUGCUAUAGAUUAGACUAAAACUAUAUUUGCCAUCCGGAGAUGAGUUGCUCCUUGGUUGGGCUGCUCCUUGAUUAUGACCCUCAUGUUCCACAAUGAUCCAUUCACUUUGGAAGGACUAAGAACACAUAAGACAUUCAUUGGUUGGGGUGCUCCUGUAUUAUGACCCUCAUUUGCCAUCUAGAGAUGAGUUGCUUUCAAAGAACUACGUGAAGUUUACAGAAUUAUUAACAGCACUGUGUAUAUAUAUAAAUAUGAAAACAAUAAAAUCUAAACCUCUUGCUAUUGGAUAAUCCAUAUCUUUUUAGCAUAAUAUUCUCUAAACAAACUAAAGUCAAGCGGUAAAUGAAAUAUAA